rnacentral:rRNA from 1 species
UACGGGGGGGGCAAGCGUUGUUCGGAAUUACUGGGCGUAAAGCGCGCGCAGGCGGCUCUUUAAGUCUCGUGGUCAAAUGCCGGGGCUCAACCCCGAGCGUGCCGGGGAUACUGGAGGGCUGGAGACAGGUAGAGGCAAGCGGAAUUCCGGGUGUAGCGGUGGAAUGCGUAGAGAUCCGGAAGAACACCGGAGGCGAAGGCGGCUUGCUGGACCUGGUCUGACGCUGAGGCGCGAAAGCGUGGGGAGCGAACAGG